AUUGAACGCUGGCGGCAGGCCUAACACAUGCAAGUCGAGCGAGGCGGGGACGGGAGAGUAAUGUAUGGGAAUGUGCGAGAGAGAGGGGGAAAACCACUAGAAGCGGUGGAAUAUCGCGUACUCUCGGAUGACCCCAUAUGGGAUUAGCGAGUAGGUGGGGUAAAGGCUCACCUAGGCGACGAUCUCUAGCUGGUCUGAGAGGAUGAUCAGCCACACUGGGACUGAGACACGGCCCAGACUCCUACGGGAGGCAGCAGUGGGGAAUAUUGCACAAUGGGCGCAAGCCUGAUGCAGCCAUGCCGCGUGUAUGAAGAAGGCCUUAGGGUUGUAAAGUACUUUCAGCGGGGAGGCGUUACCCGCAGAAGAAGCACCGGCUAACUCCGUGCCAGCAGCCGCGGUAAUAC
rnacentral:rRNA from 1 species